GGUCAGAAACGAACAGAAAAUGAGCAACUGGAAGGCACAAACACGCACACACACACACACACAUACACGCAUAUAUAUAUAUAUAUAUGCAUGCAUGCCCCCGUAAUUGUCCUUUCCACAUGCAUAUCAGAGGCACAUGCAGCUGCAGCUUAUCGACGGCUAGGAAGCGAAGCGAGGCGGAGCGAGACAAGGAGGAAGAAACGCAACUGAGAGCGUUUCGAUCAGUUGCACAGCACCAUGCGCUACCCUCUUGACCUACGCAUUCUGCGCUGUACUCCAAAGCGACUUCCUCUUGCGUGGUAGGGGAUGAGAUGCUGGUGCGCUGCCAGCCGCUCACUGAGGGGCAGGAAGGGAGAGUGAUGAAAAAGAGUGCGGCGCCGCGCUGCCGCGUGCACUCUCACCGCGCCUUGUUUUCUCCUUUUCUUAUCGUGCAUCAUCUGCGCCGCUCUGCUCUUGUGGCGAUUUCUCUGUUCGCCACCUCAUCCGACUUCCUCUGUGCUGCCUCGUGAGCGUCACUGCAGAGGGGUAAGGUUCUUACGCGUCUCUCUCGCUCUCCUUUUCUCAGCUGUUCGGUGAGCCCAACUGCAUGCUUGUCAGUCUGCUGCGUGUGCAUGUACGUGUAUUCGUCUCCGUGUGUGAUGCACAUUUCGACCCCUCACUUAUCGGCUGCUCUCCUCCCCCUCCGUCGUCUCUCCGGUUCGCUCUCUUUUUCUGUAUCCCUCACCGUUGCGAUCAUGCAAUGGGGAGCACAAG
rnacentral:misc_RNA from 1 species